GAGUAUUUUCAAGGAGGCCACUGAUUUGACCCUAGUCACCUUGACAGCCUUCGAGUACUCUUAAAUUUUAGCGAAAAUGGGCAUUCGUUAUUUCCUGAGCACAUCAAAAAUCUCCCACCUUUAAAAUGAGAAAACAGAUUCAGAGAAGUUAAGUAACAAGCUCAAGAUCACAGCAUUAAAAUCAUACCAAAGAGCAUAGCAAAGAGCAAAGCAAAGGCAUUGCUAUAUCUGAUGAAACUGGUCUGCCAAUAUGUGUUUCUCAUCGUUUCCUAACUGAAGCUCCAGAUUUAAUGAAACUGGAAAGAGAUUUUGUGGAGAUGCUGGAUACUUGCUGAGGAGCUUACUAAGGUUAUGCUUUCUCUGUUUAGUAUCUUAAAUAGACUUUUG
rnacentral:lncRNA from 1 species